GACGAACGCUGGCGGCGUGCCUAAUACAUGCAAGUCGAGCGAAUCUUUGGGAGCUUGCUCCCGAAGAUUAGCGGCGGACGGGUGAGUAACACGUGGGCAACCUGCCUAUAAGACUGGGAUAACUUCGGGAAACCGGAGCUAAUACCGGAUAAUCCUUUUCCUCUCAUGAGGAAGAGCUGAAAGACGGCAUCUCGCUGUCACUUAUAGAUGGGCCCGCGGCGCAUUAGCUAGUUGGUGAGGUAACGGCUCACCAAGGCGACGAUGCGUAGCCGACCUGAGAGGGUGAUCGGCCACACUGGGACUGAGACACGGCCCAGACUCCUACGGGAGGCAGCAGUA
rnacentral:rRNA from 1 species